rnacentral:rRNA from 1 species
UACGAAGGGGGCAAGCGUUGUUCGGAUUUACUGGGCGUAAAGCGCGCGCAGGCGGAUUGUUAAGUAGGGCGUGAAAUCUCCCGGCCUAACUGGGAGGGGUCGCCCUAAACUGGCAGUCUUGAGGACAGCAGAGGUAGGUGGAAUUCCUGGUGUAGUGGUGAAAUGCGUAGAGAUCAGGAGGAACACCGGUGGCGAAGGCGGCCUACUGGGCUGUCUCUGACGCUGAGGCGCGAAAGCUCGGGGAGCGAACGGG